rnacentral:rRNA from 1 species
GACGAACGCUGGCGGCGCGCCUAACACAUGCAAGUCGAACGAGCGAGAGAGAGCUUGCUUUCUCGAGCGAGUGGCGAACGGGUGAGUAACGCGUGAGGAACCUGCCUCAAAGAGGGGGACAACAGUUGGAAACGACUGCUAAUACCGCAUAAGCCCACGGCUCGGCAUCGAGCAGAGGGAAAAGGAGCAAUCCGCUUUGAGAUGGCCUCGCGUCCGAUUAGCUAGUUGGUGAGGUAACGGCCCACCAAGGCGACGAUCGGUAGCCGGACUGAGAGGUUGAACGGCCACAUUGGGACUGAGACACGGCCCAGACUCCUACGGGAGGCAGCAGUGGGGAAUAUUGCACAAUGGGGGAAACCCUGAUGCAGCGACGCCGCGUGGAGGAAGAAGGCCUUCGGAUUGUAAACUCCUGUUGUUGGGGAAGAUAAUGACGGUACCCAACAAGGAAGUGACGGCUAACUACGUGCCAGCAGCCGCGGUAAAACGUAGGUCGCAAGCGUUGUCCGGAAUUACUGGGUGUAAAGGGAGCGCAGGCGGGAAGACAAGUUGGAGGUGAAAUCUAUGGGCUCAACCCAUAAACUGCUUUCAAAACUGUUUUUCUUGAGUAGUGCAGAGGUAGGCGGAAUUCCCGGUGUAGCGGUGGAAUGCGUAGAUAUCGGGAGGAACACCAGUGGCGAAGGCGGCCUGCUGGGCACCAACUGACGCUGAGGCUCGAAAGUGUGGGUAGCAAACAGGAUUAGAUACCCUGGUAGUCCACACCGUAAACGAAGAUUAUUAGGUGGUGGAGGAUUGACCCCCUCAGUGCCGCAGUUAACACAAUAAGUAAUCCACCUGGGGAGUACGACCGCAAGGUUGAAACUCAAAGGAAUUGACGGGGGCCCGCACAAGCAGUGGAGUAUGUGGUUUAAUUCGACGCAACGCGAAGAACCUUACCAAGUCUUGACAUCCCUUGACAGACAUAGAAAUGUGUUUUCUCUUCGGAGCAAGGAGACAGGUGGUGCAUGGUUGUCGUCAGCUCGUGUCGUGAGAUGUUGGGUUAAGUCCCGCAACGAGCGCAACCCUUAUGGUCAGUUACUACGCAAGAGGACUCUGGCCAGACUGCCGUUGACAAAACGGAGGAAGGUGGGGAGGACGUCAAAUCAUCAUGCCCUUUAUGACUUGGGCUACACACGUACUACAAUGGCGUUAAACAAAGAGAAGCAAGACCGCGAGGUGGAGCAAAACUCAGAAACAACGUCCCAGUUCGGACUGCAGGCUGCAACUCGCCUGCACGAAGUCGGAAUUGCUAGUAAUCGUGGAUCAGCAUGCCACGGUGAAUACGUUCCCGGGCCUUGCAC